rnacentral:pre_miRNA from 1 species
GCUCUGACUUUAUUGCACUACUGUACUUCACAGCUAGCAGUGCAAUAGUAUUGUCAAAGCAU